rnacentral:rRNA from 1 species
UACAGAGGGUGCGAGCGUUGUCCGGAAUCACUGGGCGUAAAGGGCGCGUAGGUGGCGAGCCAAGUCCAUGGUGAAAGCUCGAUGCUCAACAUCGAGUCGGCCACGGAUACUGGUGCGCUUGAGCACUGUAGAGGCUCAUGGAAUUCCGGGUGUAGCGGUGGAAUGCGUAGAGAUCCGGAAGAACACCGGUGGCGAAGGCGGUGAGCUGGGCAGUUGCUGACACUGAGGCGCGACAGCGUGGGGAGCAAACAGG